ACUUACCAGCUCUGUGCUUCAGUUUCCUCCCCUAUCAACAGAGAUGAUAAUAGUAGCGCCUAUCUCUACAGGGUUGUUAUGAGACUUAAAUGAGAUAAUCCAAAUAAAGCAGCUGGCCCAGUGCCCAGCACAGAAGUAUUAGAUUUGAUGAUGAGGAAGACAUAGCAGAUGUACUGACUUGGAAUAACAUCCACAGUGUAGGAAAAAACCAAGUUG
rnacentral:lncRNA from 10 species